CAGAGCAGUAGCUGCGGAAUAAAAAGCGGCGGGCACUGCGGGAUCUCUCUCUCUCUCUCUGGAUGCCCCCGCCUCCUCUCUUCCCUCCGCCCCCACCCUAAAGCUCCGGGCUAUUCUGAGAGGGAGGAAACCGCACGUCACUCGCAAGAGGAAAGUAUUUCACCCAUUGAGCAAAAGCUGCUGGAAGCAGCCGCUGUAGCGGUAACCCUACUACAGCCCCACAGAAGCCCGGGCUCAACGAGUUUCCAUUGCCAUGGAAAGCAAAACCGGGACAAGGGGCAGAAGGACCACAACCCAGUCUGUCUUGACUGCCGCGUUUUAGAUACCCAAAUUACCCGACACCAAACUGGGGAGAGAAAGUGACAUUGUAUCAUGCAUGCCAGUGAUUCCAGGGGAAACUCCCCUGCUUUCCUUCAGCCUCAGAAUGGGAAUAGCCAUCGAUCUUCAGGUUAUGUUCCAGGAAGGGUUGUUCCAUUGCGCCCUCCACCCCCACCAAAGAGCCAAGCUUCAGCCAAAUUUACCUCUGUCAGACAAGAAGCCCAGGCAACCUUUGCAUUCUCUGCUGAGGAGCAGCACUCACAGAGAGAAGACCAAAAGCAGAGGAGACACAAAAAUACAUUCAUUUGUUUUGCCAUUUCCAGCUUUACAUUUUUUGCUGCACUUGCAGUCAUUUUAGGAAUAUCCUCAAAAUAUGCUCCAGAUGAAAAUUGCCCAGAUCAAAACCCUCGUCUCAGGAACUGGGAUCUAAAACAUGAUCCUGAAAAGCAAGUCAUUAUCAAGAAAGGAGAUUGGCUCCGUUUAAACUCGGAUGUUACAGUGAACUCUAUAGUCAUCCAGAAUGGAGGAUUACUUGUCUUUGGCGAUGAUAAAGAUGGAUCCAGAAAUAUUACUCUGAGAACUCAUUAUAUCCUGAUCAAGGAUGGUGGAGCGCUUCAUAUUGGAGCAGAGAAAUGCCGCUAUAAAUCCAAAGCAACUAUUACCUUAUUUGGCAAGUCAAAUGAAGGUGACAGUAUGCCAACAUUUGGCAAAAAAUUUAUUGGUGUGGAAGCAGGUGGGACGCUGGAAUUACAUGGGGCUUGGAAAACAUCGUGGACACUCUUAGCAAAGACUCUACCUUCCUCAGGGCUGACCUCUGGUUCUUAUAUUUUUGAAAAAUCCUUUAAUCGAGGUCUUAAUGUGAGGGUCAUUGACCAAGACACUGCUGAAGUUUUGGUGAUUGGUAGGUUUGAUACCCAUGAGUACCAAAAUGAAAGCAGGCGACUUCAGGAGCUUUUAAAAGCCCAGGAUCCUGGCCGAAUUGUUGCUAUUGCUGUUGGAGAUUCAGCUGUCAAAAGCCUCCUAGAUGAAACUAUACUGACUAUCCAAAAUCUUCUGGGAAGUAAACUGAUCAAAGGAUUGAGUUACAGGCAAGCUUGGGCUUUGGUUGCUGUCAUUGGUGGUGGAAGUGCUUCUUGCAAUGAAUCAGUGAGAAAUUAUGAAAAUCACAGCAGUGGAGGGAAGGCUCUUGCCCAAAGAGAAUUUUUCACAGUCGAUGGUCAGAAAUUUGCUGUAACAGCUUACAGUGAAUGGAAUGAAGGGGUAUCCCUUUCAGGUUUCCAGGUAGAGGCCAUAGGUGGAGUAAAACUACAUCUGGUGGAUGAUGUCAGCAACUGGAAACCUGGAGACCAGAUUGUGGUUGCAAGCACAGACUAUUCUAUGUACCAAACAGAGGAAUUUACUCUUCUUCCUUGUCCUGAAUGCAACAAUUAUGAGAUCAAAGUCAAAGAAACUCCUAAAUUUCUACACAUGGGAGAGAUGGUUGAUGGAGUAGAUAUGCGAGCUGAGGUUGGAGUUCUUAGCCGAAAUGUGGUGAUCAGAGGAGAGAUGGAAGCCUCCUGCUACGCUGACAACCAAUGUCAAUUCUUCAGUUAUGAUACAUUUGGGGGACAUAUUCAGAUUCAGAAAAAUUUCACCUCGGUUCAUCUUUCCCAUGUGGAACUAAAGCACAUGGGGCAACAGCAUCUGGGGAAAUACCCUGUGCAUUUUCACCGAUGUGGUGAUGUGGACGAUAGAGGAGGUUACAGACCUCAGACUUAUCUGGAUGGCGUGUCUAUUCAUCACUGCUUUUCUAGAUGUGUUACUAUCCAUGGAACAGAUGGUUUGCUGAUAAAAGACACUAUUGGCUUUGACACAUUAGGUCAUUGUUUCUUCUUGGAAGAUGGCAUUGAGCAAAGGAAUAUUUUGUUUCACAACCUUGGGCUUGUCACCAAACCAGGCACUCUUCUUCCCACUGACAGGAAUAACACCAUGUGCACAAGCAUUAGAGGGAAAGUCUUUGGAAAUUAUGUCCCUGUGCCUGCUACAGAUUGCAUGGCUGUUUCAACAUUUUGGAUUGCACAUCCCAAUAACCAUCUGAUAAAUAAUGCAGCUGCUGGCUCACAGGAUGCUGGAAUAUGGUAUUUGUUUCACAAGGAAGCCACAGGGGAGUCUAGUGAAUCGCAUGGAUUAACCAAAGCAGAACUGACACCAUUGGGUAUUUUUUAUAACAACAGAGUUCAUUCAAAUUUUAAGGCGGGUUUGUUUAUUGAUAAAGGAGUAAAAACAUCCAAUGCUAGUGCUUCUGAUCCAAGAGAAUAUCUUUGUUUGGAUAACAGCGCAAGAUUUCGACCUCAUCAAGAUGCAGACCCCGAAAAACCCCGUGUUGCUGCACUUAUUGACAGACUCAUCACUUUUAAAAAUAAUGAUCAUGGAGCAUGGGUCCGAGGAGGAGAUAUUAUCAUUCAGAAUUCGGCAUUUGCAGAUAAUGGAAUAGGGUUAACUUUUGCCAGUGAUGGAAGCUUCCCCAACGAUGAAGGUUCCAGCCAAGAAGUAUCAGAAUCUCUGUUUGUUGGGGAGAGCCAGAACUAUGGUUUUCAGGGUGGUCAGAACAAGUAUGCAGGCAUUGGAGGGAUAGCCAAGAGACUUAGGACUUUGCCUAGGAACAGGACAUUUCCAAUUAGAGGUUUUCAGAUUUAUGAUGGACCUAUUCAUCUUACCAAAAGUACAUUCAAAAACUAUGUGCCAACAACGGAUAGAUACAGCAGUGCCAUUGGGUUCCUAAUGAAGAAUGUCUGGCAGUUAACACCCAAAAAUAACAUCUCCUUGGUGAAGUUUGGUGCUCAUGUUUCUUUGAAUGUCUUUUUUGGUAAACCUGGUCCUUGGUUUGAAGACUGUGACUUGGAUGGUGAUAAAAAUUCCAUAUUCCAUGAUGUUGAUGGCUCUGUAACAAGAUACAAGGACACUUAUGUGGGUAGAAUGGACAACUUUUUGAUCAGACAUCCCGACUGUGUUAAUGUGAUCAAGUGGAAUGGGAUUAUCUGUAGUGGGACUUAUGCCCAGAUUUAUGUACAGACAUGGAGCAUGCAAAAUCUUACCAUGACCAUCACACGGGAUGAAUACCCAUCUCACCCCAUGGUACUGCGAGGAAUUAACCAGAGAGCUGCAUUUCAGCAGUACCAGCCAGUAGUGAUGCUAGAAAAAGGAUACACCAUUCAUUGGAAUGGACCAGCCCCACGAGCUACCUUUCUUUACCUCAUAAAUUUCAACAAGAAUGACUGGAUUCGAGUUGGUCUCUGUUAUCCAUCAAACACUACUUUUCAAGUUACAUUUAGCAGAUACCACAGGCAAAGUGGUAUUUCUACCAACAUGGAAGAAUAUGAGCCUGUGCUUUCAAUGGAAGAACUGGAGAAGAAGCCAUCUGACAGGAAGUUCUAUUUUGAUUAUGGCACAGGACUGCUAUUUCUGUACCUCAAAGCUAAAAAUAACAGGGAAGGCCAUAGUUAUUGCUCAUCAGAGGGAUGUGAACGGAUCAAGAUACAAGCAACAACUAGCUCAAAAGAGAUCAGUAAUUGCAUGGCUAAAGCUUACCCACAGUACACCAAGAAACCAUCAGUCACUAAGAAGAUGCCAGCCAUGUUAACUGGACCCUGUCAAGCCUGUGGUACACAUCAGAUGGUGUUUACCAGUGAUCCUCACAAAUUCUACCUGACUAUACAGUUCCAAUUACUUAGUGAAGAAGACAUUCAACGUGGAAAUAAAUCCUUCAUCUCUAUAUCUCAGAAUAUUCCUGUGAACCCAUAGAGGACCUGAAGUUUCUCUUCUGCAAGACCCCUGAAAAAACUCUGGAGAAAGGGUGAAAUUGUCUUUCACUAUAAUCUCCUUCCUUCCUUUCUCACCAUGAGAACUUUACUCCUAAUACUCUCUCUUCAGCGUUCUUGGUGUUACUCUGUGAGCCCUCCCUAGUGAGGAGAUAACUUCCUAUGAAGACCAGGGAACUGUGCAGGUAAUGGGGGGAUUCAGGAUUGUUGAGUAUCCAAUUGUGUGGGUCAGAAACCAUUUAAUAAAAAAAGACUGGAGAGAUCUCUAGAAGCAAAGCAAUACGUUCUCAUGAGAAUCUGGUGUCCCACCCAUCGAGCAGAGAAUCAAAGGGAGGAAGCACCAUAGGGGGCAGGGUCAACGCUUUUAAUCCCCAACACAAAUUCCCCCUCCCACCACUGACCCUCACAUCCUUAUUAGCUGAGGAUCUUACAUUCUAAACUCGGGAACUACCCAAGAAAUUGAACUUGAUCAAUAAGUACAAAGUUUGGUUGAAAUCGGGAGGAUAACAAGAAGGGGGAUAACAGGGAAGGGGCUUUAAGUAUGUCCUUAAGAGGAUAGCAGGGAGGAGACACUUUAAGUCCUUGACUUAAUGCUUAAAGUCCUUCAGGCCUACUCAAACUUUAAAAUAGAUGAAGCCUAACUCGAUUUUCACAACUGUCUUGAAAGAUCUCACCUUAUCUCGUUCACAAUCAAUACCCCCAAGGUGGCCCAGAGAUGCGACCUAAUGCAUUUUUUACAAAGAUCCCAUUUCCAAAUGUUGCCAUCUUCACCCUAGAGACCACUCCAUUUGUACUAGCUACUCCCCGAGGGAACUACUUUGAUCUGAUUAUCCCUCUUUUCUUUCCCAGCACACCUACAUAUUACCACACCCAUAACAGUAGUUGUUGUGGCCCAUAAUAGCCAUGUUUCUAUCCCUGACGUGAGGAUGCUGAUUUAUACCACCAAUACUGUUGGUGCAAGUGAGUGUGACUCCUCUCAGCAAACUGUACCAGCUGCAUAGGUAGGUCAAGGGCUAAAUAUACCUAUGACUAUGGACCACCUUGAAAAAUAACUGUAGGGUAUCCAUUCCAAGAUUAUCCUGGCAAACUCACUCAUCAUGCUUUCAUACCAUUUUCUUUGAUACUUCUUCAUAACCUUCUGAAAACUAACAUUCUGAUUGAUAGAAUGUCAAGUAACUACAAUCAUCCUUGGGGACAAGUGUGUGGGUCAGAAACCAUUAAUAAAACAACUGGAUAGAUCUCUAGAAGCAAAGCAAAGUUUAUUAUACGUCCUUGAGAACGGGCUGUUCCAACUAUCGAGCAGACAAUUGAAGGGAGGAGGCACCGUAGGGGACAGGGUGGACACUUUUAAUCCCUAACGCAAAUUCCCCUCCCACCACUGACCCUCAUCCUUAUUGGCUGAGGUUCUUACAUUCUAAAUGCAGGAACUAUUCAAGAAAUUGAACUUGACCAAUAAGUACAUAGGUGCCCAUAUUUGGCUGAAAUAGGGAGGAUAACAAGAAGGGGACUUAAGUGUGCCCUUAGGGGGAUAGCAGGGAGACUUUAAGUAUGUCCUUAAGAUAGCAGGGAGGAGACUUUAAGUAUGCCCUUAGGAAAAUAGCAGGGAGGAGACACUUUAAGUAUGCCCUUGACUUAAUAAAGUCCUUCAAACUUUGAAAUAGAUGAAGCCUUACUAGAUUUUCACAACUGUCUUGAAAGAUCUCACUUUAUCUCGUUCACAAGCAAUCAGGAAACUUGCUACAAAACUUGACCUCAGAUACCAUCUAUGUGCCUAAGGGAUAUGCUGUUCUCUGUAAAGUAAGUUCUCCAUUCUAUUUCAAUGUUUCUGAGGGACCUGGUUUUUUUUUUUUUUUUUCAUAAUUAUAAUUUUUAUUGACAGAACCCAUGCCUGGGUAAUUUUUUACAUUAUACCUUGCCCUCACUUCUGUUCCGACUUUUCCCCUCCCUCCCUUCACCCCCUCCCCCAGAUGGCAAGUAGUCCUAUACAUGUUGAAUAUGUCACAAUAUAUCCUAGAUACAAUAUAUGUGUGCAGAACUGAACAGUUCUCUUGUUGCACAGGAAGAAUUGGAUUCAGAAGGUAAAAAUAACCUGGGAAUAAAAACAAAAAUGCAAACAGUUUACAUUCAUUUCCAGUGUUCUUUCUUUGGGUGUAGCUGCUUCUGUCCAUCAUUGAUGAAUUGAAACUGAGUUAGAUCUUCUCUGUCGAAGAAAUCCACUUCCAUCAGAAUACAUCCUCAUACAGUAUCGUUGUUGAAGUAUAUAAUGAUCUCCUGGUUCUGCUCAUUUCACUUAGCAUCAGUUCAUGUAAGUCUCUCCAAGCUUCUCUGUAUUCAUCCUGCUGUUCAUUUCUUACAGAACAAUAAUAUUCCAUAACAUUCAUAUACCACAAUUUGCCCAACCAUUCUCCAAUUGAUGGGCAUCCAUUCAUUUUCAGUUUCUAGUCACUACAAACGGGGCUGCUACAAACAUUUUGGCACAUACAUCUGAGAAACCUGUUAAGACGUAUGCUCUGACUGGAACCCUCCCCAGCCCAUAAUUCUCUCUACCAGACACUUAACCUGUUCUAAGCUCUAUGGGUCUUGCAACCUAGGUUACCCUAAGUGCUCCUUUCACUGUAUAUAAUGCCACUACCUCAAACACUGCCCCCAUCCCUUCAAGGAGACAAAGACAGGGAUUUGGGGAAAAUGUUCUUUGGUAUUUAAAGAAGGGCACAGCAAUGCUUGGUUUCCUGGGUGGGAUACUUAGAUGAAAACAUCCUCUCCAACCUGACGGCCACAAUCAACCAGCUAGCCAAUGAAACAGCACAUUUUCUCCAGGAGAUCCAAGAAUCUUUGGACUCUUGCUAACAUGGUUUUAGAUAACUGAAUGGCCUUGGAUUAUCUCCUUGCCUCAAGUGGAGGUGUUUGUGUCCUGGUCAAUUCGUCCUGUUGUAUGUACAUCAACAACUCAAGGAAGAUUGAGCUCUGUACUGAGAGAAUCUUAGAGAAAGCUGGCCUCACACACCCCCAGUCUUCCUCGGGUUCAGGUUCCUGGUUAUGGUCUCUACUAACCCCUAUACUAAUUCUACUUCUAAUUAAUAAAUAAUUAGAAUUUUUUACUCAUAUUUGGCCCCUGUAUUUUUAAUCUGUUUGUAAGAUUUGUUUCCUUUAGGCUCCAAGUGAACUUCUAACUACUCUCAGCCUGAAGAUCAUGGGACACUCCACAUCUCCUAGAUGCUGUUGCUGCUAUCUUCAGAUCUCAAACUUCCCCUCCUGUCCUGAACCCCAUUGAACAGAAGGACAACUCUACAACACUUAUCAGCUUGAACCAGCUAUAGAAAAUGACACCUUUGUCCCUUUACCCCAAAUGAAUUUGGGGGGGGACUGUUUGAGUCUAACUUUCCAGGUUCGUGAAUUCCUUCAUGAAGAACCUCUGCACCAACCAAAACAAGUUCCCACAGCUCUCUGCCCUGCGCCAAACCUCAUCAGCCUCAUCUUAUAAGACAUUUGAUUCUGAAACAGAGGACUUGGGUUCAAAUUCUAGAUCAUUUGCUUACAACUACUUGUAAAACUUCAGAUAAAGCAAGGAUUUCAGAGUGCUCUAUCUCACACCAGAAUCUAUGAGCCAAGCCUGGUCAUGGACUGCCCCCCAGCUGGUGACUCUAUGAAGAUAAAAGCACUUUCUUACUGCAAUUUCUGACAUUAGAGCAUCACAGAUGUGUCCUGAUCUUCAAGGAUCUCAGAUGAUAAGAUACUUUGGUCCUGAGCCAGUGACCAAAGCCUCACUUACUGAGUAAGGCAGAAAAGCUGAUCAAAAUCAAUGGGGGUCAUGAACCCAUUUUGAUCUUAUCUUGGUGUAUGGUGUUAUGUGUGGGUUGAUGCCUAGUUUCUGCCAUACGAGUUUCCAAUUUUCCCAGCAAUUUUUGUCAAGCAAUAGACUCCUCUCCGCCAUCUUAACCGGAAGUCUCGGCAGAUAGACUCCUAAGUAUUUUAUACUAUCAGUAUAUACUAUAUAUAAUAUACUCUCAAGUGUCAAGCCUACUUCUUAAGACAAUAAGAUGAAGAAAUUGAGAUAGAGAGAAAUUAAGUGACUUGACCAGGGUCAUGCAGCUGGUAAGUAUCUGAGGUUGAAUUUGGAUUCAUAUAAUUCCCAGACCUUUAUCUUCUCUGACACCUAUCUGCUUCUUUUUACAUUUCCUUUGAUAAUUUUUUUUGGAUCUGGAAGUGAUAAAGAUCAACUGAUUUUCACUUCUAUAGUUCAAGAAGAGAUCUUUUAAAUGCUACUUUCCCUACAGUAUACUCUUCUAUGUUUUAAACGAAAAUGAAAACUUCCUUUUAAUGACCUCAAGGGGAAAAAUAAAGGCUCCAAUAGGUGUCAGCAGAGGUUUUUAUUUUCUCAAAAAAUAAGUUAAAAUCAUUUUGUCCAUUUUUAUAAGAAAUCUUUUAUACUAAGAAUCAACUCUACUUGGAUAUUAAUUAUAAUUAAUUAAUAAAUAAUAAUUAUUCUUUUAACAA